rnacentral:snRNA from 1 species
AUCUUUGCGCUUGGGGCAAUGACGCAGUUAGAGAGGUGAAACCGAGACGCGUCAAUUGCUGGUUGAAAACUAUUUCCAAACUAUUUCCGAGGGAUCUUAACUUCUUACCAGCAUCUUUUCUCUUGAUUUCACUGAUCG